rnacentral:rRNA from 1 species
GACGGAGGGGGCUAGCGUUGUUCGGAAUUACUGGGCGUAAAGAGUGCGUAGGCGGUUUAGUAAGUUGGAAGUGAAAGCCCGGGGCUUAACCUCGGAAUUGCUUUCAAAACUGCUAAUCUAGAGUGUAGUAGGGGAUGAUGGAAUUCCUAGUGUAGAGGUGAAAUUCUUAGAUAUUAGGAGGAACACCGGUGGCGAAGGCGGUCAUCUGGGCUACAACUGACGCUGAUGCACGAAAGCGUGGGGAGCAAACAGGAUUAGAUACCCUGGUAGUCCACGCUGUAAACGAUGAGUGCUAGAUAUCGGGAGAAUAUCUUUCGGUUUCGUAGCUAACGCAUUAAGCACUCCGCCUGGGGAGUACGGUCGCAAGAUUA